GACGAACGCUGGCGGCGUGCUUAACACAUGCAAGUCGAGCGGUAAGGCCCCUUCGGUGGUACACGAGCGGCGAACGGGUGGGUAACACUUACGCAAUCUUCCCAUCACAUCGGGAUAACUCCGGGAAACCGAAGCUAAUACCGAAUACGACCACCUCCUGCAUCGGCUGGGGGUGGAAAUUUCCGGCGGUUUUGGUUGAGCUCGCGGGCUAUUACCUUGUUGGUCGGGUAACGGCUAACCAAGGCUUCGACGGGUAGCCGGCCUGAGAGGGUGACCGGCCACACUGGGACUGAGACACGGCCCAGACUCCUACGGGAGGCAGCAGUGGGAAAUAUUGGACAAUGGGCGAAAGCCUGAUACAGCAACGCCGCGUGAGGGAUGACGGCCUUCGGGUUGUAAACCUCUUUCAGCAGGGACGAAGCGCAAGUGACGGUACCUGCAGAAGAAGCACCGGCCAACUACGUG
rnacentral:rRNA from 1 species